AGACGUCUACAUUAGAUACCCGGGUAGUCCCAGCCCUAAACGAUGCGCGUUAGGUGUAUCGGUGACCACGAGUCACCGAGGUGCCGAAGGGAAACCGUGAAACGUGCCGCCUGGGAAGUACGGUCGCAAGGCUGAAACUUAAAGGAAUUGGCGGGGAGCACCACAACGGGUGGAGCCUGCGGCUUAAUUGGACUCAACGCCGGGAAGCUCACCGGAUAAGACAGCGGAAUGAUUGCCGGGCUGAAGACCCUGCAUGACCAGCUG
rnacentral:rRNA from 1 species